rnacentral:rRNA from 1 species
CUACGGGGGGCUGCAGUGGGGAAUAUUGGACAAUGGGCGAAAGCCUGAUCCAGCCAUGCCGCGUGUGUGAAGAAGGCCUUCGGGUUGUAAAGCACUUUCAGUGGGGAAGAAAGCCUUGGGGCUAAUACCCUCGAGGAAGGACAUCACCCACAGAAGAAGCACCGGCUAACUCCGUGCCAGCAGCCGCGGUAAUACGGAGGGUGCGAGCGUUAAUCGGAAUUACUGGGCGUAAAGCGCGCGUAGGCGGUCUGAUAAGCCGGUUGUGAAAGCCCCGGGCUCAACCUGGGAACGGCAUCCGGAACUGUCAGGCUAGAGUGCAGGAGAGGAAGGUAGAAUUCCCGGUGUAGCGGUGAAAUGCGUAGAGAUCGGGAGGAAUACCAGUGGCGAAGGCGGCCUUCUGGACUGACACUGACGCUGAGGUGCGAAAGCGUGGGUAGCAAACAGGAUUAGCUACCCUAGUAGUC